rnacentral:misc_RNA from 1 species
UCCGGCGUCGGCAGUCACGGGUCGCCGCAGGAGACGCGCCCCUCGGGUCAGUGAGAGCGGCUCAGACCGCCCGCUGCUGCCGGCCACUGCAGGGGAGAGGAGAGAUCUGACGGACUGCUGCAGGCGACCGGAGACUGCUGCUCGCCACCUGUCUCUGCAGUGUCCAGGGCAACUGCUGUAGCGACCCGUCUCGGCCUGCGCCUGUGACCGCACGGCAGCCCCACCAGCCGCCAUGUCUACUGUCGGGUGCUACCUGCGCGUGGAAGAGCUGGCUCAGCCCGAUGGACUUUACCAGCUGGGCGACAGAAUCGCCGAGGGGACCUACGGAGAGAUCUUCGCGGCCACCGAGAACAGCUCAGGUACCAAGGUGGCCAUCAAGAUAGUGGACAACACGGAGGAGACUUUCCCUGACAUUGAGGAGGAGUACCGAAUUUUGAAGGACCUCUCGGUUCACCAGAACAUUCCCAAACUGCACGGCAUUUUCAAAAAGACCUCGAGCAGCGGCGUCGAACAGAUAUGGAUGGUCAUGGAGUACUGCUCGGGCGGGUCGGUAACGGACCUGGUGAAGCGUCUGAAGGAGAGCGGACACGUCAUGAAGGAGGACCACAUCGCCUUCAUUCUCCACCACACCGUCCAGGCCGCCUGCCACCUGCACCGGAACCACGUGAUACACCGCGACAUCAAGGGGCAGAACAUCCUGAUGGCCCAGAACGGCGAGAUCAAGCUCGUCGACUUCGGCAUAUCGCGUCACCUGCCGUCCACGAUGGCUCGUCGGGGCACCUCGAUUGGCACACCCUACUGGAUGGCUCCGGAGGUGAUCUUGUGUGACCAGCAGCACGGCGCCGAGUACGACAUCCGCGCUGACGUCUGGUCGCUCGGGAUCACUGCCAUCGAGUUGGGUGACGGCGUGCCGCCGCUGGCCAGUGUGCACCCCGUGCGGGCCAUGUUCCAGAUCACCCGUAACCCACCGCCUACACUGGCAAAGCCCACCGAAUGGAGCCAGGCCUACCUGGACUUCAUCGCGGAGUGUCUGGAGAAGAACGACGAGAGUCGUCCUCUGAUGGAGGAGGUGGCCACCCACCCGUUCCUGACCAGGCUCGAGCCGCGACUGGCCGCUAUCAGGGACGAGCUGGCCCAGCUACUGGCCGACAGCGGGCCGGCAGAGACCGUCCAGCCGGCCCAGGUCACCUCCAAGGCUGGAUACCUGAGGACGCGGCCGCACUCCAAGUCACUGGAGAUCCUGCAGGACGACCUCGCGGCCCUGGAGGACGUCACCGACGACACUAUCCUAAACCUGCUGGAGAAGCGGUUCCACCGCGACAUGAUCUACACGUUCGUGGCCGACGUGCUGAUCGCCGUCAACCCGUACUGCGUGAAGCCGCUCUAUGAUGCCAAGACACACGCGGCCUACUGUUCUCGUGCGCGCUCCGAUAACGCGCCGCACGUGUACGCCGUGGCGGACCGGGCGCACCAGGACAUGGCGCACCAUCAGCGUGCCCAGACCAUCGUCUUCACCGGCGAGACUGGCUCCGGGAAGACGUUCAACGCACGCAUGGCGCUGGCGCACCUCUGCCACCUGGGAAAGAGUAAGUCCCUGGCGGAGAAGGUCCUGGGCGCCGGGUUCGUCCUGGAGCUGUUGGGUAGCGCGGCGACCAGCCAGAACGCGGCCUCCACGCGACAGGUGCGCUACUUCGAGACCACCUUCACGAAGACGGGCCGGCUGAGCGGCGUGAUCGUGUGGAACUACAUGCUGGAGCGCUGGAGGGUCACCGACACCCGCCCGAAUGACGGUACAUUCAACGCGCUAUACGCCUACUACUACGGGCUGCAGCAGAGCGGAAAGCUGGGAAUUUACAAGCUGCAAAAGAAAGAUGACUACCGGUUCCUGCCGAAGCACAAGUUCCUCGACCCGGUGGACAGCGCCGAGAAGUUCAAGGAGGCAGAGCGGACCAUGGACAUGCUGGAGAUCUCCGGCGACAAGCAGGAGACGGUGCGGAAGGCGAUGGCGGCCAUCAUCCUUCUGGGCGAGGUCGACUUCGAGGACGACGGCGAGGGCGUCACGAUCGUCAACAAGGAUGUCCUGAAUACAGUGUCGUACCUGCUGUCUGUGGACGAGGCCAAGCUGGUCUGGUCGCUGGAGCACCGCUGUCGGAUCGUCGCCGGAGAGGCCGUCAAGGAGGCCAAGACAGUAGAGCAGGCGCGCGCCUCGCGGGACGCGCUGGCCCGCCUGCUGUAUGGCCGGCUGGUGGAUAGCGUAGUCAACUGGGUCAACGCCUCCUUCACCCUCACCAGGCUGCUGUUCGGCGAGACCAACACGGUCGGCCUGCUGGACAUGUACGGGUUCGAGAGCCGCAGCACCAACUACCUGGAACAGCUGGUCGUCAACGCCUUCAACGAGCAAGUGCAGUCGUUCUACAACCAGUCCGUCUUCCAGUGGGAAAUGGACGACUUCCGUGGUGACGACCUGGAGGUGUCUCCCUACACGUACAUGGAUAACAGUGCCACCAUCGACAUGCUGAUGAAGAAGGGGGAGGGCCUGCUGGCGCUGCUGGACGAGAGCACCCUGUCGGAGAAGGCCUCCGACCAGCACUUCGUCGAGAACUGCAAGGAGACCAUAGAAAGCCGCCAUUUCUUCCCCGAAAAGGAUGGAUUCGCCAUCGCUCACUACGCUGGAAAGGUGUCCUACUCCAAUAAGGACAUCGUCGCCAAAAACAAGGACUACCUGGACCCGGAGGUGUUUGACACGCUACGUCAGUCAGAGAACCCGUUCAUCGCGCCCAUGUUCCUGCUGCCGCUCACCAAGACGGGUAACCUGACCAUGGACCGGGAGCAGGCGCAGCGCGAGGCGGGCGGCAAGGCGCGCCCCGUCAAACUCAACGACGACGUCGGAAACAAGCGGUUCGACACGCGCUCGCGGGGCCGGCUGUCGCAGACCAGCCUGGUGCUGCUGACGCAGGCCUCGUGCUACCGCUACAGCGCCAUGGAGGUGAUGCACAAACUCAUCAACAGCACGGCCCACUUUGUGCGCUGCGUGCGCUCCAACAGCGAGGGCGCCGCAGACACCUGGGAUACCGGUCUGGUCGCACAUCAGCUGAAGUGCAUGCAGAUUGCCAACACCAUCGCCAUCAGGAAGGACGGCUACUCCCAGAGGAUCGACUUUGCCGAGUUCUUACGAAGGUAUCAGUUCCUGGCGUUUGACUUUGACGAGACCGUUGAGGUGACGCGCGAGAACUGUCGACUGCUGAUGGUACGUCUCAAGCUGGACGGCUACCGUAUGGGACGGCAGAAGAUCUUCCUCAAGUACUUCAACGAGGAGUACAUGAGCAGGCUGUACGAGCACGAGGUGAAGAAGAUCGCCAAGGUGCAGGCGAUGAUCCGCGCGUUCCUGGUGCGCCGGCGGCGCCGGGCCGGUCAGCCUCUGGACGUGACGCGCCUUCUGGCCAGUGAGUGUCACCGUCGGCCGCGCCUCUCCGUCACGCCCGAGAUGCUCAUCAUGCCCGAGAUCGACCCGCCCGACGAGUUCGAACUCGAGGACUAGGGCGUCGGGUCGGGAGAAACUAGAGGACUAGAGCGUCGGAUCGGGAGAAACUCGAGGACUAGAGCGUUGGGUCGGGAAAAACUCGAGGACUAGAGCGUCGGAUCGGGAGAAACUCGAGGACUAGAGCGUCGGGUCGGGACAUACUGGAGUAAGGGGUACCAAAGUGGGACAGACCCGUGGACAUAUAGAGUAUCGGGGUCGGGACAAACUCGAGGACUAGGGUGUCGGUCGGGACAAACCCGGGGACUAGAGUAUCGAGUCAGGACAAACUCGGGGACUAGAGUAUCGAGUCAGGACAAAGACAGGACCGGGUCACCAGGCCGGGACUUACCAACUGGAGAACGGGGUACCAAAAUGGAACACACGACAGGGCUAACUAGGGGCUAAUUUGAAUACUGGGAUGCCAAAAAGGAACACACUUCAGGGUUCAAAAGGGACUAAAUGGAGAGCUUCCUAAGGACGGAGGCAUCGAAUAGGGACAAAGAUACCGAAAAGGGGCAUACUGCAUGAUUGGUGCACUAAAUAUGAACGAAAUGGAGGAUUAGCAUUUCCAUGAACAUAUUGAAUAGAACAAACAUGACAAUACUUCAACCGAUAAGUGAUCCAAAUUGGACAUAAUUAGUGUUUUUUAUACCUCGAGAUGGGAUAUCCUCGUUGUAAAUUGAAGAAAAGUCAGACUUGUUUUUUACGUUGAUGGUUAAUGAGAUUUAAGUCGGUAACCAAAGUAGAACCAGCCGAUGACGAUAGCCAGUAAUAUGUGGAAUGAUGACAUCAAAUAGAUCUCAGGGUAGGCUCUUUCACAAUCCACACGAACCAAACAUCAUACAGAUCAGUGUACCCCCAAGUGGACUUAGAUAGGUACGCAUGAAACGCGACCCGAUGGUAGUUCAAUGUCGCGUAGCAUCGUCCAUCGACAAUGUGCAUUAUGCAUUAUUAUGCUUUGAGUAGACCAAGGAUGGCGUAAGGGCUUUUAAUCGCUCACCGUUAAGAAUUGGUUGUUCACCAUAUCCAGCUACGUUAAAAAGGCGAUCUUAGACUAUCCGUUAGUACGCAAAAAAAAGUCGAGUAAUCACUGAUAUCACAUAUUAUUAUUGAGAAAGGUAAUAAGCUAGAUGGAACAUGUGAAGUGUUCUGUGUCACCCGUGUGUUCCCUGUAUUUAGCAUGCUUGUAGAGAGUCUAGCUAGAUCAACCGCUGCAUAGGAAAUGAGCUUAAAUUAUGUUCGGAGGGACUUAUGUCUUAUAUCCGGGCGAGAUAUGUGCGUUAGUUAUCAUGUUAUUCGCUAUCGCAGUGCAAGUAGAGGUGUGCGCUUAAGCCAUCGGUCAUUUGCCUUAUGCCUAUGCAUCUCAGAGAGCACUAGUCGCUUGUACGCUUGAUGAUUGGAUUGAUAUUGCAGUUUACGUGGUCGCCCUAAGACCUCUGAUAGAAUGCUGAGAACACUUGUAAGCGCUCAGUGGAAAGGGCAACACCUUCUGCGCAUUCAUUGUAAAUGCGAGGGAAAGCAAAACAGUUGGUUUGAGUGACCUUUUCGUAAAAUGCUACGUUCCAGCAUAACAUUGAGGCUUUCCUGUCACCCCACGAAUGCUCACCGGGGCCGGCUGUGCCGCAGUAUAUAUGGGGGAGACCUGCGGCACAGUGGGCAAAUUCCAGGCCGGUUAGUUUCAGCCCCAUACCGAUGAAACGCUACCACAAAUCUAGCCGUGACACAGGCGUAAGGUCAUUGUCAAUAUGCAAACAUGCUAAAAAUGCAUCAUCUUACCAGCUAUUUGCAUUCUCUCGCAUAAACACGUUUUCGGUAAAUGUAUAAUAACCUUGUAUGAUGUAAGUGUAUAAGAUGAGAUUCAGAGACAGUAGUAUGGUGCUUACGUGUCCAAAUACACAU